GGAGGACUUUGUGUAUGUGGUGUUUGCCACUUCUGACAAUAUGAACUGCUUCAGGUGUGGCAGAAAAGGACAUCUCGCCAGGACAUGUCCGGGAAAGGACUCUGCAGAGGGUGCAGGAGAACGAGGUGUGGAGGAUCGGGACAGUCAGGGAAGACAGGAGAAGACAGGUGGGGUACAACAGGAGGGAAAGGAGGCACAGGAAGAGACAGGUGGGGUCAAGCAGGCGGCUGAGAACGGACAGCAGGGGACUGGUGGGGUCCAGCAGGGUGGGGAAGCGAGUGAUGGGGGCCAGGAAGGGACAAGUGGAGGACAACAGGUGGGCCAGGUGAGUGUGGGGGUGAAUGAAGAGACAGGUGGUGUCAGACAGCUCAGCCAAGAGAGAAGGGAAGGUGUGAAUGGGGUUCAACAGGUGGUUCUGGGGGGUGAAGAAGGGCAGGAGAAGCUGGAAAAAAGUCAAGAGACACGUGCUGAGGAAAUGCGGUCUGAAAGCAGCGCCGAGGACAUGGAGGGGGAGGAGGAGGAACGUAAAGCCCCCCUGAAGAGAAGGAAGACGAGGAGCAGCGGAGGAGCCUCUCGAGCCAAGAAAGGGUCAGAAAACAGAAGGAGCACAAGAGGGAAAGCGGGUGAACCCGGGUCCUCUGCUGACUGGGAUUCCACUGACAGCGCCUCUUCUGGUGGGACGGUGACCAGCAGGUACGGGGUGGGGAGAGUGAAGCUCUUCCUGAAGGUAACAAAGAACAUGAAGGGGGUGGACAUGGAGGAGUAUUUCUCUGACCUAGAUAAGUUCUCUCGCACUGCUCGGAACGGUGUGAGCAAAAAGGGUAGUGGGAGAUACACCCAGCAGGAAGUCUUCCGGAUGAGGAAGAUCAUCCUGAAGAUAAACAGGGGAAGCGAAGGUGCUUCUGUGGACUGAGAGCGGCGUCCAUCCGGUGGAGGAGGAUCCUGGCCGGCUGACGCAAGAGGAGAUGCUGGUGGGGAAUGACUGAGGAGUGGAGCCAGCAGCCAAAUCGACGGGCAGCUCAAGCUUUUGAAUCUUUCAGCGUUGUCGUGUAUGUGACAUGUUUGUGC
ensembl:lncRNA